rnacentral:rRNA from 1 species
AGUUUGAUCCUGGCUCAGAUUGAACGCUGGCGGCAUGCCUUACACAUGCAAGUCGAACGGUAACAGGUCUUCGGAUGCUGACGAGUGGCGAACGGGUGAGUAAUACAUCGGAACGUGCCCGAUCGUGGGGGAUAGCGAGGCGAAAGCUUUGCUAAUACCGCAUACGAUCUACGGAUGAAAGCGGGGGAUCUUCGGACCUCGCGCGGACGGAGCGGCCGAUGGCAGAUUAGGUAGUUGGUGGGAUAAAAGCUUACCAAGCCGACGAUCUGUAGCUGGUCUGAGAGGAUGAUCAGCCACACUGGGACUGAGACACGGCCCAGACUCCUACGGGAGGCAGCAGUGGGGAAUUUUGGACAAUGGGCGAAAGCCUGAUCCAGCCAUGCCGCGUGCAGGAUGAAGGCCUUCGGGUUGUAAACUGCUUUUGUACGGAACGAAAAGCCUCUUUCUAAUAAAGAGGGGUCAUGACGGUACCGUAAGAAUAAGCACCGGCUAACUACGUGCCAGCGGCCGCGGUAAUACGUAGGGUGCAAGCGUUAAUCGGAAUUACUGGGCGUAAAGCGUGCGCAGGCGGUUUUGUAAGACAGAGGUGAAAUCCCCGGGCUCAACCUGGGAACUGCCUUUGUGACUGCAAGGCUGGAGUGCGGCAGAGGGGGAUGGAAUUCCGCGUGUAGCAGUGAAAUGCGUAGAUAUGCGGAGGAACACCGAUGGCGAAGGCAAUCCCCUGGGCCUGCACUGACGCUCAUGCACGAAAGCGUGGGGAGCAAACAGGAUUAGAUACCCCGGUAGU